GGCUGCAACUCGCCUACAUGAAGUCGGAAUUGCUAGUAAUCGCGGAUCAGCAUGCCGCGGUGAAUACGUUCCCGGGCCUUGUACACACCGCCCGUCACACCAUGGGAGUCGGUAACACCCGAAGCCUGUAGUCUAACCGCAAGGGGGACGCAGUCGAAGGUGGGAUUGAUGACUGGGGUGAAGUCGUAACAAGGUACC
rnacentral:rRNA from 1 species